AAAUUGAAGAGUUUGAUCAUGGCUCAGAUUGAACGCUGGCGGCAGGCCUAACACAUGCAAGUCGAGCGGCAGCGGAAAGUAGCUUGCUACUUUGCCGGCGAGCGGCGGACGGGUGAGUAAUGUCUGGGAAACUGCCUGAUGGAGGGGGAUAACUGAUGGAGGGGGAUAAC
rnacentral:rRNA from 1 species